CUGCUUUCUUAUGUCUAGAAAUGUUUGUGGGGUCUUUGUCUGUCCUCCCUUAACAUUAAUCCAAGUUUUAAUCAAUUGCUGAUAGAACUCAGGAAGGGAUUUAAAUAUUUUUUUGUCUAACAUAUUAACAUUUUUAAUGUUCAUUUGAAAUAUCAAAAGGUUUUUACCAAAUUUGUUUAAGUAAACUUGGGGUAUGAUUGACCAAUUUUCACCAGAAUUUUGUUUAAGUUUUAAAAUCCAGCG
rnacentral:lncRNA from 1 species